AGUCAUAUGCUUGUCUCAAAGAUUAAGCCAUGCAUGUCUAAGUAUAAGCAACUAUACGGUGAAACUGCGAAUGGCUCAUUAAAUCAGUUAUCGUUUAUUUGAUAGUACCUUACUACAUGGAUAACCGUGGUAAUUCUAGAGCUAAUACAUGCUAAAAACCUCGACUUCGGAAGGGGUGUAUUUAUUAGAUAAAAAACCAAUGCCCUUCGGGGCUCCUUGGUGAAUCAUAAUAACUUAACGAAUCGCAUGGCCUUGCGCCGGCGAUGGUUCAUUCAAAUUUCUGCCCUAUCAACUUUCGAUGGUAGGAUAGUGGCCUACCAUGGUUUCAACGGGUAACGGGGAAUAAGGGUUCGAUUCCGGAGAGGGAGCCUGAGAAACGGCUACCACAUCCAAGGAAGGCAGCAGGCGCGCAAAUUACCCAAUCCCAAUUCGGGGAGGUAGUGACAAUAAAUACCAAUGCAGAGCCCAACGGGUUUUGCAAUUGGAAUGAGAACAAUUUAAAUCCCUUAACGAGGAUCCAUUAGAGGGCAAGUCUGGUGCCAGCAGCCGCGGUAAUUCCAGCUCUAAUAGCGUAUAUUAAAGUUGUUGCAGUUAAAAAGCUCGUAGUCGGAUGUCGGGCUCGGGCAAGCUGUCGGCCUUUGGUCGGACGGCAGGCUCGGGUCUUUCUGCCUGAGGAACCCGGUUGCUUUAACGAGCUGCCGGUGGACGCAGGUCGUUUACUUUGAAAAAAUUAGAGUGUUCAAAGCAGGCUAGCGCUUGAAUACAUUAGCAUGGAAUAAUGGAAUAGGACUUUGGUGCUAUUUUGUUGGUUUAUGGGACCGAAGUAAUGAUUAACAGGGACAGUUGGGGCCGUUUAUAUUUCGUUGUCAGAGGUGAAAUUCUUGGAUUUACGAAAGAUAAACUUCUGCGAAAGCAUUCGGCAAGGAUGUUUUCAUUGAUCAAGAACGAAAGUUAGGGGAUCGAAGACGAUUAGAUACCGUCGUAGUCUUAACUGUAAACGAUGCCGACUCGGGCUCUGUGGUCUCUGGGAGAGCAUGGGGAGCGUGAGAGAAAUCGCAAGUGUUUGGGUUCUGGGGAGAGUAUGGUCGCAAGGCUGAAAUUUAAAGGAAUUGACGGAAGGGCACACCAGAAGUGGAGCCUGCGGCUUAAUUUGACUCAACACGGGGAAACUCACCAGGUCCAGACAUAGUAAGGAUUGACAGAUUGAUAGCUCUUUCUUGA
rnacentral:rRNA from 1 species